CCGUUGGUAACUAAAACUACAGAAAGCAGGACCAUGGAUAAAGGAGGUGGGGGAGCCUAUUGUACAGGAUUUAGAAUGUGAUGGUUCAACCACAUAUUUUGCAUGGCUCCCUCCGACAUCCUUGCUGUUCUGGAGUCAGACUGCCUGGAUCUGAAUUCUGACUCCACUACUUCCUAACUCUGAGAGGUGGGUGUAUCUACGCAGUGAAAUAUCAUUGGAUCCGUUGGAUAAGGACUCUGAAGAUGGCACAGCACCGUGAAUAAACCACCAUGUGACAACACCUGUGUACUGCGAUUAUGAGACAAUAGAAUCAGAUCUGAGAACACAACGAGCUUGAAAACUUUUCAGAGCCUCUGAGACAGGACUGACUGAGAACCCUCAGUCAGGGCCCCAGCCCAGACUCACAGCAAGCUAUUCCUGGGGCACUCCAGGCUUCUCCGUG